rnacentral:tRNA from 1 species
UCCCUGAUGGCUUGGUGGUAAAGAGCCUGCCUGCAAUGCAGGAGACCUGGGCUCAAUCCCUGGGUUGGGAA